UGGCGAACGGGUGAGUAACACGUGAGUAACCUGCCCUUGACUUUGGGAUAACUUCAGGAAACUGGGUCUAAUACCGGAUAGGAGCCAUCUUUAGUGUGGUGGUUGGAAAGUUUUUUCGGUGUAGGAUGAGCUCGCGGCCUAUCAGCUUGUUGGUGGGGUAAUGGCCUACCAAGGCGGCGACGGGUAGCCGGCCUGAGAGGGUGUACGGCCACAUUGGGACUGAGAUACGGCCCAG
rnacentral:rRNA from 1 species